AUGACGACAUUGAGAAUGGACCUUUGUCACUAUGUGCGACCAAAAAGGCCUAAGACAAUGAUCUCCGGCCCAAAAGUCAUCAGCCCAACCAAUCAGCAUUCCAACUUCCCAGUCCUCCGUCUUCGAGUGUUCGCCGCCGGCUAGUUAGCAACCAUGGCCAACACAGUCCGCGUCGCUGCCGCUCAGAUGACUUCGAUCAACGACGUCGCCGCAAACUUCGCCACCUGCUCUCGCCUCGUUAGAGAAGCAGCUUCAGCUGGGGCGAAAUUGAUUUGUUUUCCAGAAAAUUUUUCAUAUGUUGGUGACCUAGCUGGAGACAGUUUGAAGGUUGCUCAACCAUUAGAUGGACCAAUUAUGAAGGAGUAUUGUUCUCUUGCAAGGGAUUCAAAUAUGUGGCUGUCUCUUGGAGGAUUCCAAGAAAAAGGACCUGAUGAUGCACAUCUAUGCAAUGCUCAUGUUUUAAUUGAUGAUGCUGGGACUAUCAGAAGUGUAUUCCGGAAGAUGCACCUAUUUGACGUGGAUGUCCCUGGAAGUGCAGUUUACAAGGAGAGCUGCUUUACAGAAGCUGGGAAGGAGAUUGUUACAGUAGAUAGCCCCUUUGGACAUUUAGGUCUGACAGUGUGUUAUGAUUUGAGAUUUCCGGAGCUUUAUCAGCAGUUGAGGUUCCACCAUAAUGCACAGGUCUUACUGGUACCUGCUGCUUUUACAAAACCAACAGGUCAAGCACACUGGGAGAUUCUUCUUCGUGCUCGUGCAAUUGAAACUCAAUGUUAUGUCAUAGCUGCUGCGCAAGCUGGAAAGCAUAAUGACAAAAGAGAAAGCUAUGGUGACACCUUGAUAAUUGAUCCAUGGGGAACAAUAGUUGGGCGGUUGCCGGGUCUGAAAUAUUUUCUUCCCCUAUUCAAUUUCUUUGGUUUUAACUUCUUUCCCUCUGUAUGGUCCUUAGUUGACUUGUUUGAUUUGGAUAUAGGCUCACUCUGAAACAGGCAGAUGGAAAGCACGAUUAUAUCGUUUGUCAACUGGCAUUGCUGUUGCAGAUAUUGACUUCUCUUUCAUUGAUUCAGUUAGAGCAAAAAUGCCCAUAUGCCAGCAUCGGAAGCCCAUUGAGUUCUGGAAAUCUGCCUCUCUGUAGGUGAGACGCAACCGUUCUAAGCAUACACUGAACUUGCACAGGCUUUGGUCCAUUUGUAAUGCUCGUAACGGGAUGCAAUUGUGCAACUGCAUUGUUAGGAAGUUCAUGAAGCCUUCUCCGAUUCAUUGUCUUUCUGCUUGUUUACUGUUACCACAACCUUUGUACCAUCUGUGAUCAUAAUGGUCUCUCUCUCUCUCUCUCUCUCUCUCUGUGCAUGCGUGCAUAGACAUCCACUCGGCAUGCGCAGCACUGCAGUCUUGUAUUAGGAGGAGAGAUAGCAGGAGGGAGAAAUCCGGAACUUGUUAUUUUGUACUUAAAAAAGCAAACUUGUUAGAGGUCCAAUGCUUUGAUUUACUCGUUACUAUUUUGGAUAGAGCGCAAAUGUAACCAUUUCAUGAGUUGAGGUCAUUUAUGGCCUUUUUUUAAAAAUUAUUUAGUCCAAAA